rnacentral:rRNA from 1 species
AUUGAACGCUGGCGGCAGGCCUAACACAUGCAAGUCGAACGAGUGGCGGACGGGUGAGUAAUGUCUGGGAAAAUGCCCGAUGGAGGGGGAUAACUACUGGAAACGGUAGCUAAUACAGCAUACUAUCGGAUAUGCACAGAUGGGAUUAGCUAGUUGGUGGGGUAAAGGCUCACCUAGGCGACGAUCCCUAGCUGGUAUGAGAGGCUGACCAGCCACACUGGAACUGAGACCCGGUCCAGACUCCUACGGCAGGCCGCAGUGGGGAAUAUUUCACAAUGGGCGCAAGCCUGCUGCAGCCAUGCCGCGUGUAUGAAGAAGGCCUUCGGGUUUUAAAGUACUUUCGGCGGGGAGGCGUUACCCGCAGAAGAAGCACCGGCUAACUCCGUGCCAGCAGCCGCGGUAAUAC